rnacentral:snRNA from 1 species
GUGCUCGCUUCGGCAGCACAUACACCAAAAUUGGAAUGAUACAGAGAAGAUUAGCACGGCCCCUGCACAAGGAUGACAUGCAAAUUCGUGAAGCGUUCCAUAUUUCU